AUUCAGGUUAAGGCUGGGAUGAUG
rnacentral:siRNA from 1 species